CAGAGUUUAGAGCAGGGGGAAUCUUGGCACAGUGGUGAGCCAGGGAAGAAAAUAAGAAACUUAAGAUAGGGGGCCCAGAUGAUGGUUUAAAUUAUAAAUCGAUGUUGGGUAAGAACAGGCAGAUGUUGUAGAUUAAAGCUGGCUUGUUAACAUCGUCACAGCCGUGAAAACAAGCUGGGCUGAUCUGAUCAUAAAAAAACCCUGACCCUCCUAGAAAAUCAGGGCCCAGGCAUUGUCUUUCAGGACGUUUCUGUGUGUCUGGUCGGAUGUUAGCAUUUUCCAGUCAAGAACUUGAAGUUCGGAGGAGUGGGUGGGGCACAGGCGAUCUCUUUGGUGGCUGGUUCCUAUGAAAACAAUAAAUAGCUUCCAGAGAGAGGGGAGGGCAUCUGUUCUCACGGGGCUCACUCCACCCACCAACAACACAAAGGGAGGGUGGCCGAAGAAGCAGACAGCUGGCGCCCGGCCAACCUAAUCCUUUCCAGCCUCACGAAGGAGUGUGGUCUGGAGGACAUUUUAAAAGGAGAGAAGGAUGUUAAGAAGUGUUGAUGAACAGAAGAAUCCCACUGUUGAGAGAGAAUCGGCACAGAUUUUGUGCACAGUGGGAAGCAUGCCAAGGGAUUCUGUUCCCAGCUCUGACUCUAACUGGCUGUGUGACCUUGGGUAUCCUGUUGAAGCCUAACUGUCUAAUCUAACAGAGCCAGUAGUAAGUGGUGGAGACAGGAGUUGAACAAAGGAAUAUGACUCCUGAAUGCAUGCUCUUAACCAACUAUUAAAGAACAAAACUUCAGGCAGCCUUUAUAGGCAGAAAUGGGAUGGGACAAGGAAGUUAUUAGCAAAAGAAAAGAAUUGUUUUAGACUAGGUCACUUUCCUUUAGGGGGAAUGGCAGAAGGUCUUAUCAUACAGAUGACCUUUCUAGUGCCUAUCAGAAAAUUCCAGAUUCACUGGUUUAAAAUUCCACUCCGGAGAAGAGGCUAAAACUGCAGUUAGGUUAGGUAUUAAGUCUUGGUGGGACCUAACAUAAGUGACUCCAUUUUGAGCCUAUUGUUUCUUUUUAACAUUUACCCCCUUUUGAUUGAACUCAGCCUGAGAGACGUGGUAAAGAU